rnacentral:lncRNA from 1 species
AUCAGCAAACCCUCAUCUCUCUCAUCUCUUACCUCUCAUUUUCGUCCAGUCACCAAGAAGGAACAAAGGGAAGGAAAAACUUCAUCUUCUAGCUUCCAUUUCACUCCCAAAACCUUCACAAAUCAUCAUACAACUUCCACUUCACUUGUAGAGCAACUUCAGCUGAGGGAAAGGCAUAAUCUUGCUGGUUUUUCUUGGGUCUUGGAGGUGUAAAAUUUCUCGUUUCAUCUCAAAAACUAGGAGGUAAUCAUCUAAUCUUCUAGUCUUAGUUUUAGUGGAUGGAUCUUUGAUAUGAAACUUGUAGCUUCAUGUGGGUGUUGUUAUUUGGAUGAAAAAUGUUGGAGUGGGCUCUAUGAAAUCCCACAAUGGAUAUAUGGACUGAUUUGUGGUGUUUUGAUAUUAUUAAUGUUGGUUUAGUGUUUAAAUUAGUAGAAAUGAGUGAUGUUAUGGAUGAAAGCUCAAAGGGAGUGAAGAUGGAAAACUUUCCGUUUCUGCCCCUGUGAAUGUCCAUGACCCUUAGAGCAAAAUUUUGUGGUUCUACUGACUUGUUUAUGAUGUAUACAUGUUGUGUGGGUUGUGUAGAAAGUUUCAUCAAAAAAAUUUCAUGAUUUAGUUGACCAAAUGAUGUGUUUUCGGAAGUCAGUAAAAACUGGAAAUUUUCCCAUAACUGCUUUGGCAGUGUUUUUGUUUUGGCUAUAACUUUUUGUUUCAAUAUCGAAAUUGAGUACCAUUUAUGGCACUGGAAACUAGACAUUCCCAGAUUUCCAACGGUAUAAAAUGCACAUCCUAGUUCUACCUGAGUAGUCUAUACCAAUUGUUUGAACAUGACUGUCCUGUUUCGCAUCUACACUGGGAGCUCUGUUUUGAGCAGCGAAUUUGUGCCCAAAUAUGAGCUAGCCGUGGACAGAUUUUGGAAAUGAUUUCUUCUAAGAAAUUGUAUCUUUAUGAAUCUGGUUUUCAACGCCACUAACCACGCUCAAUUCUAAUUUGAAUUGAGUGAGUUAUGGCCUGAUUUUGAAAAUGUGAUAAAGUUGGAAAUCUGGAAAAAUCCUUUCCUUCAUGCUAGCCGACAGGUUUAGCUUGAUGUGGGAGGUUUUGUUUCGAAAUUCUUCAUAUCCAUUGUUUGUCAAGUACUUAUCGAAUGUUUCUAGAACACUGGUUUCACAAAUGAAUCAAAUUGGACUGAUUUCAUGAUACAAAGUGUUUGAAAAGAAAAGAGAAGCUUGAAUUGGCAGAUUUGCUUUGAAAAUUUCACAAACUUCAGUCAUCUUGUUAACUGCCUUUCCACGUGAGUUUUUGCGUGAAAUUUGGUAGAGAUAUAGUUCAUAUAUGGAAGUUUUAGUGUUCCAAAAUUGGUGUUAUUCUAAGACUAUUUUGAUACCCAAACGAUGUCCCAAAAUUGCUCUUCAAAUCUGGAAAAUUUUUCCUUUGCUCUUGGUUGAAUGGUCAAAUCUGAUUUGAGAAGUUAUAUUUCAAAAACCUUGAUGUCAAUUAUCUCUAAAUUGCUUAUUGGAUAUUUAUGAAACCCUGGUUACAACAUUUGAAUUAAUUGAGGUUGAUGGUGUGGAUCAAAGUUUUUUAAAAAGGAAGGAAACGUGAGAAGGCAGAUUAGGCUUGGAACAUUUUUUGAACUUUAGUUGUUUUAAUGAUUGCCUUCCCGUGGGAGUUUUUGUAUGAAACUUGGUAGAAAUGUUUUUCACACAUGGAAGACUUAGUGUAUCAAGUUUGGUGUAUUUCCAAUGCCAAAUCGAUGGCCAAAUGAUACUUCAAAGAUAGCCUUUCAAACCUGGAAAAUGACAAAACAGUUUAUAAAUUGCGACCAACUUUGAACUACUAUAUUUUGACACUCAAAACUCUGAUUUCAGUUCCGUUUGUUGUGUUUUAAACCUUGAUUGGAAUUCUAAUUGAGGUACAAAUUUCGGAGGCUAGUUCAUUUCUUGUGAAUUUUUCCGAAUUUCCAAAGUUUGCCAAAAAACAUGACUAAAACUAUCUUGCCUGUUCAGAUCAGCCUCUUUGAGCUGAAAAAUGAUUCUUGUCCAAUUUGAAUCUUAGAAAAGUUCUUCUAGGAAAUUUUUGUACUUUGAAACAAGAUUCCAACGGUAUAAGAUUUUCCAUUUUUUGACCUAUUGAGUGCAAGAUAUGAUUUUUUUAAAUUUGACGCACAAAGCCAAAAUUUGCCGAUUUCUUAGAAAAUGAAAUUUUGGAUACUUGACUUUUUAUCUUGAUAUUAAUCUAUCGUUUUGAACCCGAUUUCGUAGAAGAUAUGAGUUUCCUCAGUAACUUUAAAAUCCACACUUUUGAAUCUUAACUUUCGAUAAAAUAAAACCCUUAUGAAGACAUUGACUUGAAUUCUAAAGCAAGUAUGCAUUAUUUCUUGUUUGAUAAGGAAUUUGUGAAAUUGUGAGGGUGAUAUUUGGUCACUUUUCUUCAGGCGAUCAAGAAGGUCUCGAAGAGAAUCCCGAAAUGGAUUAUUGACGACUUUCUUUACUCACUUAUUUUGGUUGGUGAGUGUUCCAUAUAGGAAUACGUGAUUCGAAUAAUUUUAUGACAUGUUUACUCCAUGGUCAUUAUGUAUUUAAUUGUUAAAUGCUACCGAUAAUUGUUUCUAUGGACUUUUCCACCAUUUUGAGUCGAGUGUGUAUCUUACCGCACUCGUUUUCACUUAGUAAAAUGUACUUGAAUUAUUUGACAUGAAAUACUUGAAAUGCAUAUUUACGUGAAGUGUUUCAAUGAUUAAUUAUGCUAUGGCUGCAUAAGUCAAUUGGAGUGAAUCUCCUCGACUCUUAAGUAGUAAAAGUGGGAAACGGCCAAUGGACGACCUACUAAAAUGAUAAAUCUCACCGUUUACCUGAUUAUUUACUUGAUUACCUGCUUACCUGAUUACUUGACUACUUGAUUAUGUGAUUACCGUAAAUUACGUGUUCAUAUGAACUUUUCCACAGUUUUACGGCGAGUGUGUAUUUCAUCUCACUCGACCUACAAAAUUGAUAAAUUUUUACUGUUUACCGAUUUACUUGAUUACUUGUGCAUAUUGUAAGUUCUAAGUUGAAUUGGGCCCUGCCCUUGAUUACUGACUUACUCGAGUCAGGGUUGGGUUCGGUCGGGUAGGUUAGAAUCUUGGGACACCGUUUCGGUAUACUCGAGUACUACCAUUGGAGGGAUAAGGUGAUGGCCAAACAAACCGAGGAGAUUCUGAAGUUAUAAGAUACAGUUGACCGAAAUGGUUCCACUGGAACACCGUAUCCUUCAAUGUGUGUUUAUUUCACAUAAUGAUAACUGUUUCAUGCUAAUAUGCUAACGUGCCACCCUGAGCCAUACCUGUGAUAUACUCAAAUUACUUGUACAUGAUAACCGUCGCAUUUUAAUGUACUAAUGUGAAAUCUUGAACCAUACGUGUGGUAUGCUCAAAUUACUUGAUUUAUUAGACCUGCUAGAGUGUCUUGGAACCUCACUGGGCUGUGUAGCUCAUUUCACGUUUUUGUUUUCCUUAACAGGGUUUGAGACCAAGAGUGCUCGUGAAUAGUGCUAGAUUGUUUUCUUUUUGAAGAUUUUAAGUUGUAUUAUAACGGAUAGUUAUAGUACUUAUUCCGUUGGGUGUAUUUAAGCUUGAAAGCUAACUAAUUGUAAGUGUGAG